rnacentral:rRNA from 1 species
UCAGCGGCGGACGGGUGAGUAAUGCCUAGGAAUCUGCCUGGUAGUGGGGGACAACGUUUCGAAAGGAACGCUAAUACCGCAUACGUCCUACGGGAGAAAGUGGGGGAUCUUCGGACCUCACGCUAUCAGAUGAGCCUAGGUCGGAUUAGCUAGUUGGUGAGGUAAAGGCUCACCAAGGCGACGAUCCGUAACUGGUCUGAGAGGAUGAUCAGUCACACUGGAACUGAGACACGGUCCAGACUCCUACGGGAGGCAGCAGUGGGGAAUAUUGGACAAUGGGCGAAAGCCUGAUCCAGCCAUGCCGCGUGUGUGAAGAAGGUCUUCGGAUUGUAAAGCACUUUAAGUUGGGAGGAAGGGCAGUAAGUUAAUACCUUGCUGUUUUGACGUUACCAACAGAAUAAGCACCGGCUAACUUCGUGCCAGCAGCCGCGGUAAUACGAAGGGUGCAAGCGUUAAUCGGAAUUACUGGGCGUAAAGCGCGCGUAGGUGGUUCGUUAAGUU